UGUCAGUUCUGGAAACGGCUUGUCCAGCCUCAGAUCCUCUAAUGCAUUGUCAGGAUGAGAUUCAACAACUGGAUGCUCCUUGAUGAUGAUUCUCAUAUAACCAACCAGUCCAUAAGUCCUACAGAUCAGCAAAGGAAUGUUAGAAUUCCAGAGGAGUUCAGCUAAACGUAGCACUGUACUUUCCGAUAGCUGUGUUGCAACCACUAAGUUAAAUCGAUUAAAGAAGGAGGGGUCGUUGUCUAGAAGUGUUUCUGGACUCUCUUCCACAAAGUUUCCAGAAACAUCAUUAUUCAACUCCUGCAGAAGUUCAGUAGCACUCUGGGCACGACUCUGACCAAUGUGGCUUUUUUGAAGAAAGAAAUUAUUUCCAACGUCUUCUCCGGAUACCCGAUUCCCAUCCACAAUUGUAAAUGAACCAAUACCAGGUAGCACUAAGUUUUUGAGUAUUUCAGUCCCUGUGGCCGUCGCAUUUAUCACACAAACAUGGGCUGACUCUAAAGCUUCUUGUCCAUGGUCACCCCACAGUCUCAGCUGCCGGUCGUAGCGCUGCUCCUUGAGGCUGG
rnacentral:lncRNA from 1 species